rnacentral:SRP_RNA from 1 species
GCCGGGCAUGCUGGUGCAUGCCUGUAAUCCCAGCUACUCAGGAGGCUGAGGUGGAAGAAUUGCUUGAACCCAGGAAGCAGAGGUUGCAGUGAGCCGAGAUCGUGCCACUGCACUCCAGCAUGGGCAACAGAGCAAGACUCCGUCUCAA